rnacentral:rRNA from 1 species
AGAACGAACGCUGGCGGCAGGCCUAACACAUGCAAGUCGAGCGCUGUAGCAAUACAGAGCGGCGCACGGGAGAGUAAUACGUGGGAACCUACCCUUUGGUUCGGAAUAACGUCGGGAAACUGACGCUAAUACCGAAUAAGCCCUUCGGGGGAAAGAUUUAUUGCCGAAGGAUGGGCCCAUGUUGGAUUAGCUAGUUGGUGAGGUAACGGCUCACCAAGGCAACGAUCCAUAGCUGGUCUGAGAGGAUGAUCAGCCUCACUGGGACUGAGACACGGCCCAGACUCCUACGGGAGGCAGCAGUGGGGAAUAUUGGACAAUGGGGGCAACCCUGAUCCAGCCAUGCCGCGUGAGUGAUGAAGGCCUUCGGGUUGUAAAGCUCUUUUGGCGGGGACGAUGAUGACGGUACCCGCAGAAUAACGCCCCGGCUAACUUCGUGCCAGCAGCCGC